rnacentral:rRNA from 1 species
GCAGUCGAGCGGACCGACGGGAGCUUGCUCCCUUAGGUCAGCGGCGGACGGGUGAGUAACACGUGGGUAACCUGCCUGUAAGACUGGGAUAACUCCGGGAAACCGGGGCUAAUACCGGAUGCUUGAUUGAACCGCAUGGUUCAAUCAUGAAAGGCGGCUUCGGCUGCCGUUUACAGAUGGACCCGCGGCGCAUUAGCUAGUUGGUGAGGUAACGGCUCACCAAGGCGACGAUGCGUAGCCGACCUGAGAGGGUGAUCGGCCACACUGGGACUGAGACACGGCCCAGACUCCUACGGGAGGCAGCAGUAGGGAAUCUUCCGCAAUGGACGAAAGUCUGACUGAGCAACGCCGCGUGAGUGAUGAAGGUUUUCGGAUCGUACAGCUCUGUUGUUAGGGAAGAACAAGUACCGUUCGAAUAGGGCGGUACCUUGACGGUACCUAACCAGAAAGCCACGGCUAACUACGUGCCAGCAGCCGCGGUAAUACGUACGUGGCAAGCGUUGUCCGGAAUUAUU